rnacentral:lncRNA from 1 species
CUUCAUAACCCCAUUCACGCUGGGGCCCCAUACAACUAGGCAGGUUCAAAGCUGUGAAGCAACCCCACCAGGCAUAUCCAAGAAGGAACAAAGCUGAGCCCUCAGUAAGGGUGCUGACUUUGCUUUUCUCAACUCACUUCACAAGUUUGUUAUUCAAGAAGCAUGUACUGAUCAUCUAUAGGUACAUGAUGCUGUUUGCUCUAUGACAGUGUUUCGCAAUGUGCUAGAGAUUGUCCUGUGCUUCAUAGGAUGUUGGGCAGCAUUCCUGGCCUCCGCCUUCUAGACACUAAUACCUUUCACCCACGUCCUAGCUGCGAUGAACAAAAAUGUUUCCGGAUGUUGCCAAAUGUCCACUCAAGAGCAAAAUCACCUCCAGGUGAGAACCACUGGUCUAUGCUAAAACGGUGAUUCCCAAACUUUUGUAGACAUAAGACUCACUUAAAAUGCUGGUUUAAAAAAUGGGUUCCUGUGCCCUAAAUCCUAAAAUUUAAUUCAGUAAAGCUGAGACAGGUACAAAUAAUUUGUAGAAAAAUAAAAGAGAAAGAGAAAAAAGAAGUGGAUUGAGGAGUUAAUAUACGACUCAGGACUCAGGGGCUUAGAGGUACCAACGUGGGGUGAUUGAAAUAAGUGUGCACGGUUGCUUAAUAACAUUUCCCUUCAACUCCCCAAACUUAUUGCAGGUAUUUCAAUAUAAAUAGUUUUGUAUUAAUAUAACCUCUGUCCUUAGUAGAGUGUAUGGUGUAGAAAGAUGUUACAUAAAAGCAAUUUUUGAAUGAAUGAUUUAAUAAUGAUUUCAAGGGGAAAGUAUAAGUGCUUAUUCACUUAGUUCAGUGUAGAAUGAAGGUGUUUAGUUGUAAUGUCUGGGGGAGGUGUGGCCUGUAACAUUUAUCAGGAGCCUUGCAGUAAGCAGUGAGUUCUAAUCCUGGAAAAUCAGAAAUGGGGUUGAGGAUAAAAUCUACAGUGUAUCUCAUUUGGGCCAUCCCUUCACCUAGGACCUGAAAUCUCUUAUUAAGUACUUUAGUAAAAUUGACUUUCCUAGGGAAAGAUUAAUAGAAGAGGGAAUGGCCGGGCAUGGUGGCUCACGCCUGUAAUCCCAGAACUUUGGGAGGCCAAGUCGGGUGGAUCACCUGAGGUCAGGAGUUCAAGAACAGCCUGGCCAACAUGGUGAAACCCUGUCUCUACUAAAAAUACAAAAAUUAGCAGGGCAUGGUGGUGCGCACCUGUAAUCCCAGCUACUCAGGAGGCUGAGGCAGGAGAUUUGCUUGAACCUGGGAGGUGGAGGUUGUGGUUAGCCGAGAUCACGCCACUGCACUCCAGCCUGGGCAAUAGAGUGAGACUCCAUCUCAAAAAAAAAAAAAAAAAAA